AUUUAUAGGCAUUAAUGGCUAUACAGAUCAUGAAUGGACCAUUUUUUUCUUCUCCAUGUUUCAGAUAAGGUGCAUCGUUCCCUGCUCGUGGUCCACUCGUGGAGUCAUUUCCACCAGGAAGCUUCGUCGCCACAUCCAAGUCGUAUUCCGGAGCGUAUCUCGACCACCUGCAUCGGGGGAAGGUGAGGAGCAAAACCCCACUGUAAAAAACAAAAGGCACCAUGGCCAUUUUCUCAAGCUCGCCAUCUUUGACCCAGUCCGAAGAUCUGCCUUGGCAGAUGCAGAGAGUACAGUCAGGGCCAAAGAAAAGCCGACAGACAACCAGCAGCCCAUCGAGCAAUCAGUCGAACCGCAAAGGGCACAUGGAGAUUGUACUGGUUUCCCACAUCAACUUGUUCUUUGUUUAUAGAUGAGGCAGGAGAAGCAGUUGAUGUCACAAGAUUGGAGAAAAGACAACCUCUCCGACGAAACAAGGAAGUCCAAUUGUAUA